rnacentral:tRNA from 1 species
GGGGAUUUAGCUCAGCGGCAUAAGCGCCUGCCUUGCAAGCAGGCGGUCAUGAGUUUAAUCCCUA